rnacentral:rRNA from 1 species
GCAAUGGACGAAAGUCUGACCGAGCAACGCCGCGUGAGUGAAGAAGGUUUUCGGAUCGUAAAGCUCUGUUGUAAGUCAAGAACGUGUGUGAGAGUGGAAAGUUCACACAGUGACGGUAGCUUACCAGAAAGGGACGGCUAACUACGUGCCAGCAGCCGCGGUAAUACGUAGGUCCCGAGCGUUGUCCGGAUUUAUUGGGCGUAAAGGGAGCGCAGGCGGUCAGGAAAGUCUGGAGUAAAGGGCUAUGGCUCAACCAUAGUGUGCUCUGGAAACUGUCUGACUUGAGUGCAGAAGGGGAGAGUGGAAUUCCAUGUGUAGCGGUGAAAUGCGUAGAUAUAUGGAGGAACACCAGUGGCGAAAGCGGCUCUCUGGUCUGUCACUGACGCUGAGGCUCGAAAGCGUGGGUAGCGAACAGGAUUAGAUACCCUGGUAGUCCACGCCGUAAACGAUGAGUGCUAGGUGUUAGGCCCUUUCCGGGGCUUAGUGCCGGAGCUAACGCAAUAAGCACUCCGCCUGGGGAGUACGACCGCAAGGUUGAAACUCAAAGGAAUUGACGGGGGCCCGCACAAGCGGUGGAGCAUGUGGUUUAAUUCGAAGCAACGCGAAGAACCU